rnacentral:rRNA from 1 species
CCUACGGGAGGCAGCAGUGAGGAAUAUUGGUCAAUGGGCGGAAGCCUGAACCAGCCACGUCGCGUGAGGGAAUAAGGCCCUACGGGUCGUAAACCUCUUUUGCCGGGGAGCAAGGGCCGGGACGUGUCCCGGCCCGGAGAGUACCCGGAGUACAAGCAUCGGCUAACUUCGUGCCAGCAGACGCGGUAAUACGGAGGAUGCGAGCUUUAUCCGGCUUUAUUGGGUUUGAAGGGCGCGUAGGCGGGCUUUUAACUCAGCGGUAAAAAUUCGGGGCUCAACCCCGUCCGGCCAUUGAAACUGGGGGCCUUGAGUGGGCGAGAGGAAGGCGGAAUGCGUGGUGUAGCGGUGAAAUGCAUAGAUAUCACGCAGAACCCCGAUUGCGAAGGCAGCCUUCCGGCGCCCUACUGACGCUGAGGCACGAAAGUGCGGGGAUCGAACAGGAUUAGAUACCCGUGUAGUC